rnacentral:tRNA from 1 species
CAGGGUGUAGCUCAGUUUGCGCAGAGCGUCGGACUUGGAAUCCGAAGGUCGCAGGUUCAAAUCCUGCCACCCUGACCA